GUGGAGUAGCGACACAGAAAUACUAAUAAAUGAGAUUCAGUUCCUCACAAUGAGGAUCGGUGGUCCUAUUGUAUCUUGCCACAUGGAGGAAAUAAUGAAGCUCGUUUUUGUUUUAAACUUAUAUCGCCAUCUUUCUUUGUCGCAUAAUCUAUUAACUGAACUGGCCAUGUUUAAUCGUUUGAGCUUUGAAUCUGUGAUCCUAUAUUGGAUACUUUUGAACAUCCCUUUAGUUCAGAACCGUGCAAAAAUAAGUAUUCGCUUUGAAUUGUAAUCAAUCUUUUGUUUUGUUAAAGUGAAUUUAGAUUAAACAUUAUGUUAAUUGAUUAAACAUAUAUUAUAUUUAUUUAUUUUUCGCAAUGAUGAUUCCAUAUUAGUCAAUCUCUUCUAGCUUUUCAGUAACCGGUUGGCAGGAAAAAAAUAGAAAUGGACUCGAGAAACGGUAACUAACAAAAGAAAAAAAAAAACACAUGUUGAAGUUCACCGACAAAAGAACUAAAUGUUAGAUUAUCGUGACGCGCGUUAAAAAAAAAGAAAAAAAAAUUAAUAUCCCGAUCUAGCAACUAUUGAUUUUAUUUCAUUUCAGGUCAGGUGGGAUCCUCAUAUAUUUUAUACAAUUUGCCCUAAGAAGUGUGGCACUGUCUGUAACGAAUAACGUGGGGGAAAUGACAAAUUGCCAGCGUUGCGUAUACUUGUUUGGCUCCAAUCUUUAAGGAUUCGUAUCAUUUUCCUCGUUUUUCUUUGCAUAUGUCUUAAUAAUGUCUUGAUUCCCUAAUCAGCCACACACUUAUAACAAGAAGACAUCAUGAUAUAUAUAAACAAUAUGAACAAUUAGUUGAACUGUAACAGAUCGCCAUAAUAUUCAAUUUGGAAAUUAACCCAUGUUUUUAAACUUACAAACUUAUUUUUUAUACGAGGGUUGAUUACAAAUCAGGUUAUUAAUUCUGAUGAAUAUUAUUCACAC
rnacentral:lncRNA from 1 species